rnacentral:lncRNA from 1 species
CAGGUUUCCUGCUAAGACUAUGUGGGCAAGGUGUAGUGCAGGUUUCCCCUGGGAUUUGAAUCUGCCAAAACUGAUCUGGCAUUUAUGAUGCAAGUGAGUGGUGGCUGAGACCCUGAAGAAGGAAUGAGAAACUUCAGGAGUGAACCAUAAAGACUUCUUUGAGGUAGCACUGCUCAAGAAUUAAGAAGCUCAUCAGGACAACCAGCCUUCCCCAAAUGGCGUUUCCACAGUUCAUGAUAUAUAAGGUUCAUCCUUCUACUGAACAAAUCGCUGCCCUGAAGCUUGAACACUGUUGCUCAUCUCUGUGUAACCUGUGAAUUGUCUCUUUGGUUUCCUGUUUUCUUACAUGCUGGGGGACGUGCCUCCCAAGCAGUUUGCUGUUGCAUUUUCACAAUAGCUGUGUCGUGGUUAAAACAUGAAAAAAUCAAGAGAUGUUUGGCUUCCUUGCUAUCUUUGAAGGUAUGUAGCAAGAAAUAACUUUGGCUAGACAGUGACAUAUUAUUUUUUCAUCAUGGAUGCACACU